AUUGAACGCUGGCGGCAUGCCUUACACAUGCAAGUCGAACGGCAGCACGGGUGCUUGCACCUGGUGGCGAGUGGCGAACGGGUGAGUAAUACAUCGGAACAUGUCCUGUAGUGGGGGAUAGCCCGGCGAAAGCCGGAUUAAUACCGCAUACGAUCUACGGAUGAAAGCGGGGGACCUUCGGGCCUCGCGCUAUAGGGUUAGCCGAUGGCUGAUUAGCUAGUUGGUGGGGUAAAGGCCUACCAAGGCGACGAUCAGUAGCUGGUCUGAGAGGACGACCAGCCACACUGGGACUGAGACACGGCCCAGACUCCUACGGGAGGCAGCAGUGGGGAAUUUUGGACAAUGUGCGAAAGCCUGCUCCAGCAAUGCCGCGUGUGUGAAGAAGGCCUUCGGGUUGUAAAGCACUUUUGUCCGGAAAGAAAUCCUUGGCCCUAAUACGGUCGGGGGAUGACGGUACCGGAAGAAUAAGCACCGGCUAACUACGUG
rnacentral:rRNA from 1 species